rnacentral:rRNA from 1 species
GUGGCGACGGGUGAGUAACACGUGGGCAAUCUGCCCUUCACUCUGGGACAAGCCCUGGAAACGGGGUCUAAUACCGGAUAACACUCUGUCCCGCAUGGGACGGGGUUAAAAGCUCCGGCGGUGAAGGAUGAGCCCGCGGCCUAUCAGCUUGUUGGUGGGGUAAUGGCCUACCAAGGCGACGACGGGUAGCCGGCCUGAGAGGGCGACCGGCCACACUGGGACUGAGACACGGCCCAGACUCCUACGGGAGGCAGCAGUGGGGAAUAUUGCACAAUGGGCGAAAGCCUGAUGCAGCGACGCCGCGUGAGGGAUGACGGCCUUCGGGUUGUAAACCUCUUUCAGCAGGGAAGAAGCGAAAGUGACGGUACCUGCAGAAGAAGCGCCGGCUAACUACGUGCCAGCAGCCGCGGUAAUACGUAGGGCGCAAGCGUUGUCCGGAAUUAUUGGGCGUAAAGAGCUCGUAGGCGGCUUGUCACGUCGGAUGUGAAAGCCCGGGGCUUAACCCCGGGUCUGCAUUCGAUACGGGCUAGCUAGAGUGUGGUAGGGGAGAUCGGAAUUCCUGGUGUAGCGGUGAAAUGCGCAGAUAUCAGGAGGAACACCGGUGGCGAAGGCGGAUCUCUGGGCCAUUACUGACGCUGAGGAGCGAAAGCGUGGGGAGCGAACAGGAUUAGAUACCCUGGUAGUCCACGCCGUAAACGUUGGGAACUAGGUGUUGGCGACAUUCCACGUCGUCGGUGCCGCAGCUAACGCAUUAAGUUCCCCGCCUGGGGAGUACGGCCGCAAGGCUAAACUCAAAGGAAUUGACGGGGGCCCGCACAAGCAGCGAGCAUGUGGCUUAUUCGACGCAACGCGAAGA